CCUACGGGAGGCAGCAGUAGGGAAUCUUUCACAAUGGGCGAAAGCCUGAUGGAGCAACGCCGCGUGCAGGAUGAAGGCCUUCGGGUUGUAAACUGCUUUUAUAAGCGAGAAAUAUGAUGGUAACUUAUGAAUAAGGAUCGGCUAACUACGUGCCAGCAGCCGCGGUCAUACGUAGGAGCCGAGCAUUAUCCGGAGUGACUGGGUGUAAAGAGUUGCGUAGGUGGCAUACUAAGUAGCUAGGGAAAUCUGGUGGCCCAACCAUUCAGACUAUUAGCUAAACUGUUAAGCUCGAGACCGUUAGAGGUAACUGGAAUUUCUAGUGUAGGAGUGAAAUCCGUAGAUAUUAGAAGGAACACCAAUAGCGUAGGCAGGUUGCUGGGACGGUUCUGACACUAAGGCACGAAAGCGUAGGGAGCAAACGGGAUUAGAUACCCUGGUAGUC
rnacentral:rRNA from 1 species